UAUAGUAUGUAGUUUAUAUGGUAACAUAGAUAUAUAAAAGUUAGCUUAUGUUUCUUAGCAGUUGAAACCACUAAACUCUACUUGUAACUGUAAUCAAAUUGUAGUUUAUUUUAGAAAUCAAUAGAAAUUACUAUCUGCUCAAAAAUGUUCUGUUGGGCAGUAAUAAAAGAAAUUUAAGAUCAAGAUUGAAAAGGCAUUAUGAACAGCUUUAAGUCAGAAAUUUGAAAAGUUACAGAAAAUUAAAACAUUAACUGCAAAUAUGUAAAUUAUUAAAACAGACUGAAGAAUAUUACAUUUCAUAAACUCUGUGUAAUGGUGUAACUGCCCAAUGGCUUUACCUUACCCGCCACCUAGACUGAGCUGAUUUAUCAAGACAGGAGAAUUGCAAUAGAGAAAGAGUGAUACACAGAACUGGCUGGCUGUGUGGGAGACUGGAGUUUUAUUAUUACUCAUAUCAGUCUCCCAGAGCAUUCGCGGAGCAGAGUAGGGGGAGGCCAGUGAGCCGGCAGAGCUAAUUGGUCAGGUUAGAGGCAAAAUCACAGGGAGUCAAAGCUGUCUUCUUGUGCUGAGUCAGUUCCUGGGUGGGGGCCACGAGAUUAGAUGAGCCAGUUUAUUGAUCUGGGUGGUGCCAGCUAAACCAUCAAGUGCAGGGUCUGCAAAAUAUCUCAAGCAUUGAUUUUUUUUGUUUUUUGUUUUUUGUUUUUUUUUGCGGCGCACUUGUACUUUUAUCACGGACAAUAUGCCCCCAUUCACAUCCCCAAAUCAGUGCUGUCCAGGCCACACCCAGGAGCCCCUGUCCAACCACUGCCCUCCCAGGGCCUCGCCCAGGCUUCCGUCACAUACUAGGACGCACAGCAGCUCUUCCACUCUUACCUGAGGUUGUAUUUUAAAAGCACAUGCUGGUUGUAAACACUUCCAACAAUGCAGAAAUGAGCAAGAGGAAAGUGGAACUUGCUGUGGACAAGGCCACAGGACCACACUUUUGUUCCUGUUGGGAUGCCUGGGUCGGUUUCACAGGUCGCCUCGCAGUCCUGCAGGCUGAACUCGUCUGUCUGGGCGCCCUGUGCUGCCUACCUCCUGGGCACUCUGGGGCGAUGUGGACGGAUGCGCUCUUGUCUAAGGUUCGGUGCGUGCAGUCAGGAAUCUGCACCAAGAAUGGUCUGUCCAUCAGUGAGGGAGAGUCCUCCCCGGGAGGGGCUUCCGUGCCUCCCAUUCUGGGCACUUCCGGACUUUCUGCAGGAAGUGCUGUCUCUGAGUCAUUCUGUUUUGUCCCGAGGCUGCUGUGAGGACGGGGACAGGAGAAGUUCAUUUGGAGACAUAUAGAAGUGGAUUUAAAAAUGUCCACAGCUCUUCUAGUAAUAAGUGGACCGCUUGGAUUAUACACUCAGACUCUUCAACACAGUUUUCUGAUACAUGACCAUGCUCUGGUGCUGAAAACAAAGGUAGC
rnacentral:lncRNA from 10 species